GACGUAGGGGGCCAGCGUUGUUCGGAAUUACUGGGUGUAAAGGGUUCGUAGGCGGUGCGGCAAGUUGGGAGUGAAAUCUCUGGGCUUAACCCAGAGGCUGCUUCCAAAACUGCUGUGCUUGAGUGUGGGAGAGGCGCGUGGAAUUGCAGGUGUAGCAGUGAAAUGCGCAGAUAUCAGGAGGAACACCAAUGGCGAAGGCAGCUCGCUGGGACGUGACUGACGCUGAGACGCGAAAGCGUGGGGAGCAAACAGG
rnacentral:rRNA from 1 species